GGGCCUUGAGGAGUAGAUUCAGAAUGCAGUGUCUAUUCAAACAUGAAAAGUCCUCUGAAAACGCACAGUCCUGGUAAAUAAAUAACACAUGCUAACUGAACAAGGCCCCAUAAAACUGGUGAAAUAUUUAACAGUAUCAAAUAUUUACAACGAUGGGCUGCAUACCUACUCUGCCUCCUUUUCCUCUCGAUUCAUUGUUUAGAAACAAAAACUUAAGAACAGUGUAAUGUACAGAAACCGGGUCUUUCAAGAGAUUUACAAUAGAACGGUUUGUUUUAAUCCUCUUAUCGGCCUCUCCUCCAAUUAUGCAAUCAUUCCAGAGCCAAAAGAUCACAGGGCUCUUUCCCUUGACACGGGGGACACUGAGAAGUGUCUAAACAGGUAGGCUGGGAACAGGCAACAUUUCCUUGAAACUAAAGUGCCUCUGGGGCACCGGCUCUAACUCGGAGCAGAGUGCUCCAGCCAGCCAUUACGGAUCGAUGUUUUAAUCCCCAACAACUGGCAACUCUUCGCGUGCUGCAGCGUCCACCCGGCACCAUCCUCUCCCCAGCCUCGCUAUUCCGCGGGCGGCGGGGGGUGAGCGGCCCACGCAGGGGGAACCGCUGUUCUCCCACUCCCGGGGUCCCGAUUCCCGAAGUCAGGCUGGGCCGAGCGCGGCGGGGGAGACCCCGGGAACCGGCGACCCCCGCACAUCCCCGGUCAACCGCGCCGCCCGCGACUUAAGCAACUCCGCGACUGAGGCCGCGCGGGCCGCCAGCGGUUUCCCUGGGAACCACUCUGGCUGGAAAUCCUGCGGCUGCCUUUGGAGGAUGUGA
rnacentral:lncRNA from 1 species